AAAAACAUGGCCUUUUGUAAAAAAUUUAAGGUCUAACCUGCUCAAUGAAUUUUAAAUAGCCGCAGUAUCUUAACUGUGCAAAGGUAGCAUAAUCAUUAGUUUCUUAAUUAGAAGCUGGAAUGAAAGGUUGAAUGAGAAAAUAGCUGUCUCUAUAAAAAUUUUAUAGAAUUUUAUUUUUAAGUUAAAAAGCUUAAAUAUUAAUAAAAGACGAGAAGACCCUAUAGAGUUUUAUAUUUAUAUAUAAUAUUUCUUUAAGUAUUUUAAAAUCUAUUAUUUUAAAAUAUUUGGUUGGGGUGAUUAGAAAAUUAAAUAAACUUUUCUUUAAUAAAGACAUUUAUAUAUGAAAAAAUGAUCCAGUUUUUAGAUUAUAAGAUAAAAUUACCUUAGGGAUAACAGCGUAAUUUUUUUUGAGAGUUCUUAUCGAAAAGAAAGAUUGCGACCUCGAUGUUGGAUUAAAAUAAAUUUUUGGUGUAGAAGCUAAAUUUAAUUAGGUCUGUUCGACCUUUAAAAUUUUACUUGAUCUGAGUU
rnacentral:rRNA from 1 species